rnacentral:rRNA from 1 species
GAUGAACGCUGGCGGCGUGCCUAAUACAUGCAAGUCGAGCGAACAGACGAGGAGCUUGCUCCUCUGACGUUAGCGGCGGACGGGUGAGUAACACGUGGAUAACCUACCUAUAAGACUGGGAUAACUUCGGGAAACCGGAGCUAAUACCGGAUAAUAUAUUGAACCGCAUGGUUCAAUAGUGAAAGACGGUUUUGCUGUCACUUAUAGAUGGAUCCGCGCCGCAUUAGCUAGUUGGUAAGGUAACGGCUUACCAAGGCCACGAUGCGUAGCCGACCUGAGAGGGUGAUCGGCCACACUGGAACUGAGACACGGUCCAGACUCCUACGGGAGGCAGCAGUAGGGAAUCUUCCGCAAUGGGCGAAAGCUUGACGGAGCAACGCCGCGUGAGUGAUGAAGGUCUUCGGAUCGUAAAACUCUGUUAUUAGGGAAGAACAAAUGUGUAAGUAACUAUGCACGUCUUGACGGUACCUAAUCAGAAAGCCACGGCUAACUACGUG